AUUGAACGCUGGCGGCAGGCCUAACACAUGCAAGUCGUGCGGAUGAAGGGAGCUUGCUCCUGGAUUCAGCGGCGGACGGGUGAGUAAUGCCUAGGAAUCUGCCUGGUAGUGGGGGAUAACGUCCGGAAACGGGCGCUAAUACCGCAUACGUCCUGAGGGAGAAAGUGGGGGAUCUUCGGACCUCACGCUAUCAGAUGAGCCUAGGUCGGAUUAGCUAGUUGGUGGGGUAAAGGCCUACCAAGGCGACGAUCCGUAACUGGUCUGAGAGGAUGAUCAGUCACACUGGAACUGAGACACGGUCCAGACUCCUACGGGAGGCAGCAGUGGGGAAUAUUGGACAAUGGGCGAAAGCCUGAUCCAGCCAUGCCGCGUGUGUGAAGAAGGUCUUCGGAUUGUAAAGCACUUUAAGUUGGGAGGAAGGGCAGUAAGUUAAUACCUUGCUGUUUUGACGUUACCAACAGAAUAAGCACCGGCUAACUUCG
rnacentral:rRNA from 1 species